rnacentral:lncRNA from 1 species
ACGAAAUUUGACGUCACUUUAGGGUUCAAUAAUUAGCGACCAAAUAUGUGAUUGCUAGAAUAAUACUUUGAAGGCUGCGUUUGGUUCAAGUAUAAAUAAGAACUGCUUAUUUCAGGAAUAGAUACAAGUUCAGAUAUAAAUAGGAAUUAAACCAAUUUUGCGUUUGAAUGAAAAUUGGGUUGCUUCUAGGAAUAAGGUAAAUAGUAUUUAGAUAGUUAGAUUGGAACAAGAGAAAUAAAAAGUUAUAAUUUUAAAUUAUUUUAUCUGAUUAAUUAACAUCAAAAUAUUACCUAACAUAAUUUAAGAAAUUAAUAAAUUUAUUAGCUAUUAAUAUUAUAAAAGAUAAUAAAAAUAUAUUAUUUAAUUAAUUAUAAAAAUAAUUUAAUUUUUUAAUUAGUUAGUAAAUUAUUUUAGUUAGAUAAGCUAGUAAAAAAAAUUAAUUAGAUUAAUAGAAAUAUUAAUUGUUGAUCAAUAUAAAUAUUAGUUUAUAGAUAAACACAUUAAAUUAUUAAUAAUUAAUUAUAAAUAAUUAAUUAAUUAGUUAAUUAUUUUAUUAUUUAAGAAAUAAAUAAUGAUUUAAAUAUGUUAAUUAGAUUAAUUAAUAUUUUAAUACUAUAAUUAAAAUUAAAUUUAAACUUCAAUUAACCUUGUUCCCACCUCGGAACAAGCUUGUUCCAGAAAAAAAGUGGAACAACCGUUCCAGCCUUAUACCAGUUUAUUUUAGGUAUUUUAGGAAUCCGAGAAUUACUAUUUUCAGGUACCAAAUACAGUAUUUGAGAACAAAGAGAGGAAUAAGGGCUUAUUCCUCUAUUGUUUCCAAACCAAACACUGCCUUAGCAACAUAUUGAUAUUUGGUUGUUAAUACAUUAAAGAUCUGCUGCCAAUUAUUUUUGUUGCUUUAUGUAUAUAAAAUAAAUUGAGCUAUUCUAUUUGGUUGAAUUAAAAAUUUUAUUUAAUUUAACGAUUAUAUUAUUUAUUAGUAUUUAAUUCUUCUAAUUUUAUUUAUUAAAAUUUAUGCAAUAUUGAUAAUUUAAUAUAAUUUUGAUCUCGUAUGAUUGUUUCGAAUUUCAACUUGAUUUUUUCGUUGGUAGAUUCUCAAUUUUUUUAUCUAAGUUAUUUACUUAGUUUAAUUUUGAAUAUUAAUAAAUUUAAUGACUCCAUUUGCUAUUAGCUUUUAAUUGGUUUAAUUUUAUUUAACAAGAAAUUAAAAAACUGUUAAAGUUGGCGAAAUCAUUAAUUAAUUAUGAAAAUACUAAAAAUUUUGUUGGACUGAAAUUACUUAAUUCUAAACAGUAAAAAAUAAAAAAAUGGAAAAACAUAAAAAGAGGAUGUUUUUAAAAUAAACUAUAAGUUGGAGGGGCCUAAAAGCAAUUUUCCAAAAAAAAAAAAUACCCAUCCUGCCUGCAGCGGUCUCCUCCAUGCUGUUCCAACUCCAGAAGCUUCUACCUGUUUUUUUUUUUUUUUUCUUUACUUCUUUUUACUUUUCUUCUCUCUCAUUAAAAAAAAAAAAAAAUCGCCCAUUUGCCCUCUUUAUUCUUCCAUCUGUACGAGACAACUCUCAGAAACCCUCUUCUAAUGAUAAUGAAAUUUUUAUGACCGAGUAAAAAAUUUGUGUUAAGAUAUUUGGAACUAUAUGAAUUCAUAAGUUGGUGAGAUCAUAAUUCAAAGCCUAAGUCAUGAUACAAAGUUUUAAAAAUUCAAUCCUCACCAAGGAUUAAAGUGAAGUGGCACGGGGUGGUGCCGGAAACUUACCGGCACGAUACGGCAUGGUGCGUACCGGAUCGUGCCGAUACGUGCCGAUCAAAAAAUUAUAUGUAUGCGGAUACGUAAUAGUAUGAAAUGUUUAUUUUCUUUAGCAACAAAAUAUGCAAAUUAUUUAUUAUAUAUUUUUAUCAAUUUUUUUAAUUUUGUUGAGAAAAUUAUUUAUUAUAAUUUAAAGAAUAGAAGGUUUUGAUUUGUGCCAUUGGCACGAAGGCAGUAUCGUGUCGAUAUCUUACUGGCACGAUACGGCACGGUGGAUACGAUCCGUGCCGUUGGGCACUUUAAUCCUUGAUCCUCACAAUUGUAAGAAGAAUUGACAUAAAGACUCUUCUAAAGACUUUGCAGUCUCAUAGUGAGACUCAACAAUCUCAAAUUAAAACUCAACGUAAAGAGAUUGAAUGGUUAAACAGUAUCUAUCUAUUCCUAUACAUUAUUUCUCAUGAAAUUUGCCACGUGGCAAUUCCUCCUUCACCCCCUCGCCACACUUUUUGAUGCUUCGCCUUCCCACCUUAUCUCUACCUAAUGCUUCGUCUUUCCACCCGCCACUUUCUAAUUAAUGUAUUCAUAUGAUUUAUUUUUAUCUAAAUAAAUUAUUUUUAAAAAAAAGAAUAUCUAUUUGCUGUUGUAACUUUUAUUACUGUUAUGUAUAAUUUAUUUGCUGUUAUAACUUUUGUCACAUUUGUAUAUAUCUGUUUUAUAUUUUCUAUUUGUAUUUAUUGAUGUCUCAUUACAAGUUGAAAAAUUUUAAAAUUUAAACUUUGUCAAUCUUUUAUCUUCUAUAAUAUUAGCCCGUCGCAAUACACGGGUAACUUCACUAGCGGAGAGUUCAGAUGCCACCAAAAAAUGAUGAUUUUAAAACAUCUACUAUGUGGUAAGUAAGAUCGUUUGGAGUAGUUUUUCAAAUUUAAUUUUUCUUAUAUUAUUUGUUGGUCAAAUUUUAUAUACGUAUAAAAAUAAAGAAUACACAUUAACAAUUGUCAAAUAAAAUAUUUUUUUACAUCAAAAGGACCUUUUUUUUGCUUACACAAAAAAUAACGAAGUCAAUAAAUCCAAGUACUUAUUUAUCCUGCUUGUAUCAUCAUUAUUUUACUAUCUUGUAAAGUUAUUUAAUAUAUUAUUUAUACAAAAUAAUAAUUAACUAGAUAAAAUUUAUUAUCUUAUUAUUAAUAAUAGUUUUAUAUUUUUUCACAGCAUUUGGUUCAAGGAUAAAGGGGGAUAAGAGCCCCUUCAUACCCAAACACAAAUUUUAUAUCCGAAAGUAGUAGUUCUCGGAUACCUGAAAAUAAAUUUGUAUAACUCGGUAUAAGUCUCGAAUUGCUGCUCUACCCCUUUUUCCGGAAUAAGCGGGGACAAAAUUAAUUAAACUCUAAAUAUAAUUUUAAUUAUAGUAUUAAAUUAUUAAUUAAUCUAAUUAAUAUAUUUAAAUUCUUAUUUAAUCUAAUUAAUAUAUUUAAAUUAUUACUUAAUCUAAUUAAUAUUAAAUUAUUAUUUUAGGAUAAUCCAUUAAAGGUGGGAAUUCCCAUUUGAGAAUUCCCACCCCUAUUUUUAUUUUUAAAAUUUAAAAUUUAAAAUUAAAAAAAUAAAAAUUUAAAAUUUAAAAUUUUUUAGAUUUAUAAUUUUUAAUCUCAAAAAUUAAAGUUUAUAAGUUUAAAAUUUUCAAAUUUAAAAUGUAAUAUUUAUAAUUUUUAAUUUAAAUUUGACCUUAAAUUUAAAAUUUAAAAUUUGAGAUUUUAAUUUUGAAUUUUAAAAUUUAAAAGUUAAAAUUUAAAAUUUAAAAAUAUAAAUAUAAAAUUUAAAAAUAUAAAUAUAAAAUUUAAAAAUAUAAAUUCAAAUAUAAUGAGAGGGGUAAUAUCAUUAUUUUCAAUUUAUAACUACCAACUAUUCUUUUUAUUUUAUCUUAUUUAUGAAAACUUUAUUUUUCUUAUUUUCGGAAACAACUCAAUUUUUAUCCAAACACAAAAUUAGUCUAGUUUAUAUCUGAACUUGUAUCUAUCCAUAGAAUAAGUAAUUCUUACUUACACCCAAACCAAAUAAUACGUUUGUGUAGAA